GACGGAGGGUGCAAGCGUUGCUCGGAAUCAUUGGGCGUAAAGCGUGCGCAGGCGGUUUGCUAAGACAGGUGUGAAAUCCCCGGGCUUAACCUGGGAACUGCGCUUGUUACUGGCAAGCUGGAGUGUGGCAGAGGGGGGUGGAAUUCCACGUGUAGCAGUGAAAUGCGUAGAGAUGUGGAGGAACACCGAUGGCGAAGGCAGCCCCCUGGGCUAACACUGACGCUCAUGCACGAAAGCGUGGGGAGCAAACAGG
rnacentral:rRNA from 1 species